rnacentral:piRNA from 1 species
GAAAAGAAAGGAAGAAACACUAGA